rnacentral:lncRNA from 1 species
UGUGUUUAAGAUGGAAUUAAAGGUUUUGUUAAAAUAUUGAUUUUUUUAUUGUUUUUAUAAAAUUUUAAGUUUUAUAGAUAAAUUUUGAAAUUUUUAUUUUCACCCAAUGAAUGUGAGGUUUUAAUGAUUUUAAAUAAGAAAAUUGAUAAACAACCUUCAAAAUUUAUAAACGUUCAAAGAUGACAUUUAAGUUAAAAAAAAAAAAGAAUAUUUCCCCGUGGACAUCUCUAAUCGGGACGAAGAUCAGGUCAAAAUAUCCGAAUUAGGGCUACAUACCCGGAGGAGAUGACGGAGCUCCACCGGCCUGAAGAUUCCUACAAGCUCCGUUGUCA